GUAGGGAAUAUUGCGCAAUGGACGAAAGUCUGACGCAGCGACGCCGCGUGAGUGAUGAAGGCCUUAGGGUCGUAAAGCUCUGUUGAAUGGGAAGAAAAAAAUGACGGUACCAUUCGAGGAAGGACCGGCUAACUUCGUGCCAGCAGCCGCGGUAAUACGAGGGGUCCUAGCGUUGUUCGGAAUCAUUGGGCGUAAAGGGUGUGUAGGUGGCCAUGUAAGUCAGGUGUGAAAGCACCGGGCUCAACCCGGGAAGUGCACUUGAUACUGCGUGGCUUGAGUACCGAAGAGGGUAGUGGAAUUCCAGGUGUAGUGGUGAAAUACGUAGAUAUCUGGAGGAACACCGGUGGCGAAGGCGGCUACCUGGUCGAGUACUGGCACUGAGACACGAAAGCGUGGGGAUCAAACAGGAUUAGAUACCCCGGUAGUCC
rnacentral:rRNA from 1 species